GUGUUCCCAAGAGCUAGUUAUGAGUUAUACACGAAUUUCGAGUAAAAAUAAAAUAAAUCUUCACCGUUCAUUUCUUUUUUAUACCCUCACCCAAAUCAUUUAACCACCAUCUCUCUUCUCUUUUGCUCUUUUUCCUGCCUUUCACAUUCAGGAACCCUAAUUCAACAAGGAGAAGAAGCCAUGUCAACCAGUGGGAUACCAGAAGAGUUAUGGUGUGAAAUCCUUAUCAGAUUACCACUGAAAUCCAUAUUCAAAUGUGAAUCAUUGGACUAAGCAACUUCAGAGCUAUCCUUUCCAAAACUUAAAGAGAACUGAUGGAAGGCUGUGGAUCUGUUUCAGAAACAUUAAGGAAGGAUCCAACUCUUGAAUCAUCUCCAUCUUUUCAUUUUGCGAACUCACAUCCAGAAACAGUAUCCUGGGUUGAUUGUUGAUCAGCUUCCACUUUGAGUUCUUCGGAAGGUGGGGUGAACUUGGGUGGAGUAAAAAUAUGUUGCAAGUCCCGAUUAAUGGCUUCCAUCCGAGAGGUGUUCUCUUUCAGGAUAAACCGGCAGGUUUACUUACACAGAUGGUGAAUGAUAAAGAAAGAAGAAAAAAGAGAGUUAAUAGGGAUGCAGGGAUCUACCUGGGCCCUUAAUAUUUUGCCAAUCCAAAAAAGACGAUCGACAAAACAGGAAGCUACUUUGAGAAAAACAUCAACACAAAUUUGGAGGGGAAGAGGUCCUCCUUAAUUAACUUGUGAACUAACCUUUGACAAAUGAAAUUGAGGUUUCAUGGUCAACUGUAGCAGCAUAAUGUUAAGUAAACUUAUUUGGUACAAGGGGACGGAAGGGGUGCUGGUGAUCUAAUGGUGCAAUGAUGGCAAAGUAUUGUGUAUAUCUUCUUUCCUGUUGUCAUUUAGACUGGAUAUUUGUGGCAGGGGUGGUGGAAAGCCAAGAUAGGUGAACCUCCUUUUUAUAAGAACAAGUCUUACGGUGGAAUCCAAACUAUUUCAAGUGUGGAAAAA